AGCAGCUCUCGUGCUAAGAUGGCUUCCUCCCGAUCGUCAGGAGGAAUGGGCUGCUGACCGGCUGCUCCUGGAUGGUAGAAGCGUAAGGAUUUCCUGAAUGAACUAAAGACAAGGCUUUUCAGAGUCUGUUUUAUUGGCCGGCUCUUCUACUGAUGUUAUAUUCGUUUCGGCAACUGAAGAGUCAGAGGGAACGCCUGUGUCUGCAAGGCCAAGAAGGGAAGUGAGGUUUAGCAAUUUAAUACUGAAACUAAGAGUCAGUAAGAUGAAAAAUCAAUAUGUACAAUGAUCUCUCCAUUAAAAUAAAGAGUAAUCGAUGUGAAA